rnacentral:misc_RNA from 1 species
AGGUGAACCUGCGGAAGGAUCAUUACCACACCAAAAAACAACUUUCCACGUGAAUCUGUACAAUUCUGCUUUGUGCUACCUCAAGGUGGCUAAGCGAAGGUCUUUUUUAAUUGGAUUUUUCUACAUUGUAGGAAAUUUUAAGCGAGAAAGACUGGCGUAAUUUUUCAACCCCUUUUAUAAUAAAUUGAAAAUUUAAAAUGGCAAGAAUGAAAGUUUUUGCUCUAAAUUUUAUACAACUUUCAACAGUGGAUGUCUAGGCUCGCG